AAACGCCUCUCUCUAUCACGUUUCUUUUUCAUGGCCUCCCACGCCCUCCUUCUAUCUGGCCUUCUACCCCAUGGCCGCCGCCAUCGCACGGAACUCCGGACCUCGCUGCUCGCUGCUGCUCGCUGCCCUCUAUCAUGAGUAGUAGGCAGACAUCAAUCAGUGGCGCUCGCUGCUACCGGCACCAUGAUAUUUUCCAACACGGUGUGGGAUCCUCAAAUACUUUGAUGGCAGCCGCCGCCAUGGGCGAUGGCAAUGAGGCCGGCACCGCUGAGAUCUCUUGGAUGAAGCGUCCUGGAGAAUCACCUAGGGAGCCUCCAUGGAGCAAUACCCACGACCACGAGGAUCUUCUCCAUUCCACCCUGAAGGCCGUUGGAGUUCUUUAGGCAGAUCUCCUUCUGGCCACCAUAUUUUUUUAUUCCAAGACGGUCUAGGCUCUUCUUCCUGCUCAUUGAUGCUACGGCCGGCCAGUUACGUCUCCUUCUGCUUUGUGUCCUUCAUGCUACGGCCGGCCAGUUACGGCCAUCAGGGUUUGCUUUUCUUCUUUGAUAGUGGUAGACCUGCAUGGUUAAUCACUCACCUGUCGAUUCAAAUACUGUUGCCCUAGCUGCUGGUUUUGAUGGUUCAGUUGUUGGGUCGAUUCAUACUGAAAAAUUAUUACUUCGGCCAUGCAAGUUCAGCUGGCAAAUUAUACAGUUAAUAUUGCUGGCUGAAGGAAGCGGAUUCGUCUGGGCAAGCAGCCCACUGAUUGUAUUAUUACUAUGUUCAUUUCGUUCUUUCUCUACUGGAAGCAAAUUUCUUAUAUGCUGAAUGAAUGCAGUCAAAAACACAAAAAGGUUAAUUCCACAUGAAUGCCACAAUGCCCGGUCUCAUGGUUCCAUGCAGUCUAUUGUUCACCAAUCUGAAAUCGGUAUUUGAUGAUCCACUUCUUUACUUAGAAUUUUAAUGAAGUCGAAGUCGUUGGCUUGCCUAUGGUUCUUUCAUUAGAAUUUGGUUCAUCUUCAUUCUUCCGGUAAGCUAUGUCGAUAUUAUUUUAAUUAGUUCCCGCGAAUGUAGACUUUGGUACGGCUAAAAAAAUGACAGGAUAGGGUGUUCAUGCACUUCUACUUAAAAUUACUAUUUAAUAUGGCAAAGUAUUUUGUGUCUUUUUUGUAACGAUCUGUCACCCUCCAGCGCAUGUGUGCCCUGUGUUAUUGUGAUGACAUGUCUUUUGGUUUAGUUGAUCCUUAGUCACUGAUUGCUUGCUGCUAGGGUGUCUGACAAGAUUUGUAUGGAUCGGAUGAUCAAUCGAGCAGGGAACACUCUACGCCGACGAGGUGCUCGAGUUGAAGCUCAUCAGAUACCAAAGAAGCGGGUUAGCUCUGCACCACUGAGGAGCAGGGAACACUCUACGCCGACGAGGUGCUCGAGUUGAAGCUCAUCAGAUACCAAAGAAGCGGGUUAGCUCUGCACCACUGAGCUGCAUAGCGAUCUGAAGUUUCAACAGGUUAAGUGGCAAGCCCAAAGACCGAUGAUUAUGUUUAUAUUAAAAGGUCCAUGAUUCUUUGUGUGCAGUAGCCCUUGGAGAUUGUAUAUAUGGACCUAUAUCAGGUGACCUGAGGUACAAGCUCUCAGUCAGUGGAUAAGAUAUCCAGCAUACGAAGAGAAUAAAAGAGGUUAUAUGACAAUUCAUGUUUUCCAGCGACCAAUGUAAUACAAUUAUUGGCGAUGGCACAACUUUGGUCUUCGUUACAGCGAGAGGUCUAACAGACUAUGUGCCAUCUGCUGUAAGAGGCACAGUUGGACAAAAUAUGUCGUUGUCGCCGAGGUACACCAGAAGCCAUCGAUCUUGACAACAUACUGUUCCCCAUCCCCAGUUCUCAAAUGAUCAGCACUAUUGAUUCAGUGACAGCAUCCAUCAGUGCUUUCAGACUGCCAGCAACUAUUCAGAAAUCUGAACAGCUUGGUUUGCCUGAAGACACGGCCACCCCAUUAGCAAGCAACGAAAAUUCGGAGGUAGAAGCCACCAAUUCAGACUUAGAAGAGUUAAGCGAAUGCAGCAAACAAUAAAUUGUUUCAACUCCCAGCAACAAUCUUACAAGGAACACUUUUUUAAUAACAGAGCAUAGGCUCCACGACAUAGGCAAACAAAAAUAGGAAAAACCCAAAAGUCAACCACCACGCCAGUAAAAAAAUGGUGGCUGCCUACAUCUGAUCUACAAGACCAGAGCUGACCCUGAACUUAUACUGUCAACUCAUAGCCAGUCUAUUUUUUGCAGUGCACCUACUGAAAAAAGGAAGUAAACAAGGAGCUGUUUCCCACCUAAAAGAAAGAGCUUAACUUACCAAGACCAAGAAGCCAUUUAUGCACUACAACCGCGGCAGUUCAGAAACUGGAGACAGGGAGUUCAAUUGAUGAAUCAGAAAUUUGUCGCCAAGUUGUCAACCUAAUUGGUCUAUGUGCCAUUCCAG